rnacentral:rRNA from 1 species
UAAUACGGAGGGGGCUAGCGUUGUUCGGAAUUACUGGGCGUAAAGCGCACGUAGGCGGACUGGAAAGUCAGGGGUGAAAUCCCGGGGCUCAACCCCGGAACUGCCUUUGAAACUCCCAGUCUUGAGGUCGAGAGAGGUGAGUGGAAUUCCGAGUGUAGAGGUGAAAUUCGUAGAUAUUCGGAGGAACACCAGUGGCGAAGGCGGCUCACUGGCUCGAUACUGACGCUGAGGUGCGAAAGCGUGGGGAGCAAACAGG